GGGCGGAUUGGCCACUGGGCCAGGAUCCAGGAAUCCUCUCUCCUGGUCUGACCCAGUUCAGGAAUGCAGAGGCCGCCCGCCCCGGCAAAUGCGUUGCAGCAAGAAGGAGAGUUAGACGUAGAGAAACACCGAGUUUCAGAGGUGCCGGGAAGUCUGAGCCUUCGCCCUCCUGCUCUCCCUCCAUGUCCACCUAGGAGGCUGCCUACACCUGGGCAAGGGCACCCGGGCUCGGCUGGAUUUCCAGGAAGACCCACCCUAUGACGACUGCCCCCACUCCCAGACCCUCCCCCCAGCCUGGGAUUGAGCCCUGGGGAUGACCCGGGGUUGGCAAGGGAAGAGCUGAAAUCGCCCUGUCCUUGGGGACCCCACCCUUUGUGCCAUCUGCCGUUUCCCUAGUGCUGGGCAUCCAGUCAGCCCUCAAUAAAUGCUUAUGAAUGGAUCAACAA
rnacentral:lncRNA from 10 species